GAUGAACGCUAGCUACAGGCUUAACACAUGCAAGUCGAGGGGAAACGGCAUUGAGUGCUUGCACUCUUUGGACGUCGACCGGCGCACGGGUGAGUAACGCGUAUCCAACCUUCCCAUUACUGUGGGAUAACCUGCCGAAAGGCAGACUAAUACCGCAUAGUCUUCGAUGACGGCAUCAGAUUUGAAGUAAAGAUUUAUCGGUAAUGGAUGGGGAUGCGUCUGAUUAGCUUGUUGGCGGGGUAACGGCCCACCAAGGCGACGAUCAGUAGGGGUUCUGAGAGGAAGGUCCCCCACAUUGGAACAGAGACACGGUCCAA
rnacentral:rRNA from 1 species